CUUCUAAGCAACUCAGAAUAUCUCACUAGAUGGUGUAGUAAUUAAGAGAAGAUUUUUCUGUGCAUAGGGACCCAACCCAUGUUUUCCUUCUAUACUGCUCGUCCAUCAAGGCAGUUAUUGAGAGGUUACCAUAGUGGACAUUAGUUUACUAAGUUAUGGACAGUUACCGGAUAUGGGAAAAAGUUGGGAGUUUAUCUCCUUCGUAUACGGGACAUGACAAAGAUGAAGUUUUAAAAUUUCAACUAACAUUCUCCCAAGUGGUCCGUAUACAUAAUGCCCAUUGUCAUAAUACUUACAGAGAACAAUAAUACAUGAAUCUUGGCGAUAGUUCCUCUAGGAGUGAGUAGUACCUUCCAUGUAUCACAUUGCAUUAAGCCUUCUCAAAUGCUUGCCCAAGUUUCUUAAUGAAUAAACUCAAUGUUUAUUCUAGGUCCAUACUUUAGCGAUAUUUCUCAAAACUGAAUGUGCACACAGUAAUAAAUAUGAGAAAUAUCAUAUAAAAUAAAUUAGAAUAACCUUCUAGAAAGAAGGAAUAUCCCAAGGGUACAAGUCUUGAAAUUGAAAUUAAAUUUCUAGAAAAGUUAGGUACAUAAAAGGUCUUUUCUAACACUAAAAUGAAACCACUACUAAGAACUAAACUGCAUGUCCUAAUAGUUUCCACACGCGAUUGCAUCUUGUUUCCAGAAUAGAUGCUUCGCUCAGCUCCCACUGGCUUCCGUUGGUUUCUUAAACCCUGCAAUGAAUUCGUAAUAUGGAUUGUACAAGCAGAAUCAAUCGACCACGUGUUAUGAUUAACAUCAACCAUAUUAGCUUCAUAACAUACAAGAAAGAUUGAAGUACCUUUCUUUUCAAGCCAUUUCUGAUACUUGAUACAAUCCUUCUUAUGUGCCCCUUCUUUUACGUGCGACACUUAGAUUCUUUCUUGAUAUCAGGUUCAGGUUCAAGUGGUGCUUUUCCUUUCCACUUUCUAUUGGCUUGGUAGGUCUUCUUUCCCUGAGUAGCCAUGAAUGCACUUUCUCCUGUUUCCAUCAGCAAUCGACCCUCCUCUUGAACACACAUGGCCAUAAGUUUAUUAAUAGACCAUUUAUCUUUAUGUGUGUUAUAAGAGAUCUUGCAGGGGCCGUACUGUAAAGGAAAAGAGUUUAAAAUAUAGUGCACAAGCAAAGUUUCAGAAAUUUCAACCUCAAGAGUCUUUAGCUGAGCCGCUAAGUCUUGCAUUUUCAUUGUGUGCUCACGCACACCUCUCACACUAGUGAGCCUCAUUGAUGAGAAUUUCAUAAUCAGGGUGCUGGCAAGUGCCUUAUCUGAAGUCUCAAACUGUUCAUCAAUAGCCUUCAGUAAUGCCUAGACAUUGUUAUAUUGUUUAACAGAACCAUGAAUACCAGCAGAGAUUUUGGUCUUAAUGAACAUAACACUCAAACGGUUCGAGCGCUCCCAUUGUUCAUGAAGAGCAAUCUCAGCUUGAGUGCUAAUUUCAUUAAUAGGUGGUUCAUCUUUCCUGAUAGCAUAAUCAAUGUCCAUGCACCCUAAGUGAAGAAGAAUUCUCUCCUUCCAAAUCUUAUAGUUCUCACCAUUCAGUUCGAGAAUAUCACAAAUAUCAGAGAAAUUUGCAGGUUGCAUAACUGCAAAAAUAUACAUACAUGCUUAAUAAAUUUGAGGCAAAUAAUAUAAUAUUGAAUCUACUGACAUAAAAAUUGCCUGUGGGCUAAAUUUUUAAUUCAAUUAGGUCCAGUCUUUACGGUAGAAUUAUCAAUUUACUAGCAGGAUAAUUCUAUCUUUACGAUAAAACUAUAAAAUUCUCGUUCACAAUCCCUGUGGGCAAUUAUGAAAAGUAUUUAAUAUUUUAUCCUAAUUAAUUUUGCAACCCAAUAAUAAAGAUUCUUGAGUUAUUAAAUCGUGCAUAAUUAAUUACAAUUCUAAUGUCUAAAAUUUCUUUAGACAUUGUAAAAACUUCCCAUAACCUCUUGCAACUACUGUCCAUCACAGCAACUGCUGAAAACCGUCCUUGAUGGAAGCACGGUUAUAUAUUCUGCAUUUUGGUUCAAGGGUCCCUAAGCACAUUACUUCUUUUAACUCCAUACCAUCUAAGAGUGAGGUUUUGAGUGCUUAGAAGAUCCUUGGAGUAGAAAGGACUCACCGGAAGAAGGCGACGCUGCUGAUACAAACGACGACUUAGCAACAAUGGCUGGAGGACUUGUUUGUGGCAGGAACCGUUACUACAUCAAAUACAUUGGAGUGGGCCAUGGCAGAACUAUUCAAGAAUCCGCAUACUAUGGAGAAAGCACAAGUAGAACUUGCUCAAGUAAUUGGCAGAGGCAAACUAAUAAAUGAAGCAGAGAAAGAAUACAUCCACAAGCUCCUUUCUUAAUUCCGCGCAAAGCGGAGGAAGAUGUUGAGCUUUAUGACUAUACUGUUCCAAAAGAUUCACAAGUUCUUGUGAACGUAUGGGCAAUUGGGCGCGACUCUAGUUUAUGGGAAAAUCCUUUGGACUUUAAGCCAGAGCGGUUUUAGGAGUCAGAAAUAGAUGUACGCGGUCAGGAUUUUGAGCUAAUACCAUUUGGUGUUGGUUGAAGAAUUUGCCCUGGACUGCCUUGGGCUAUCAGAAUGGUUCCAGUAGCACUAGGUUCAAUGCUAAAUACGUUUAAGUGGAAGCCGCAUGGUGGAAUUGCACCUAAACAUUUGGACAUGGAGGAAAAAUUUGGUAUUACCUUGGCAGAAGCUCAGCCUCUCCUAGCUAUCCCUAUUCCACUGUAAUUGUUGGAAUAAACAUUAAGAUUCUUAGUACACAAGAAUACCACAAUAUCUAUCAUUUCUUUGUAAAUGUAAGAAAGCUAGAAUGAAUUAGUAUAUUAUUAUUUUAAGAAAAAUCUUGUCAACAAUGUCUAUAAUAAGCCAAACGCAUUGGAUGAA